rnacentral:rRNA from 1 species
CCUACGGGAGGCAGCAGUAGGGAAUAUUGCUCAAUGGGGGAAACCCUGAAGCAGCAACGCCGCGUGGAGGAUGAAGGUUUUCGGAUUGUAAACUCCUUUUGUUAGAGAAGAUAAUGACGGUAUCUAACGAAUAAGCACCGGCUAACUCCGUGCCAGCAGCCGCGGUAAUACGGAGGGUGCAAGCGUUACUCGGAAUCACUGGGCGGAAAGAGCGCGUAGGCGGGAUAGCAAGUCAGAUGUUAAAUCCUAUGGCUUAACCAUAGAACUGCAAUUGAAACUGUUAUUCUAGAGUAUGGGAGAGGUAGGUGGAAUUCUUGGUGUAGGGGUAAAAUCCGUAGAGAUCAAGAGGAAUACUCAUUGCGAAGGCGACCUGCUAGAACAUAACUGACGCUGAUGCGCGAAAGCGUGGGGAGCAAACAGGAUUAGAUACCCCAGUAGUC